UACGUAGGGUGCAAGCGUUGUCCGGAAUUAUUGGGCGUAAAGAGCUCGUAGGCGGUCUGUCGCGUCUGCUGUGAAAAACCUAGGGCUUAACUCUGGGCGUGCAGUGGGUACGGGCAGGCUAGAGUGCGGUAGGGGGAGACUGGAAUUCCUGGUGUAGCGGUGAAAUGCGCAGAUAUCAGGAGGAACACCGGUGGCGAAGGCGGGUCUCUGGGCCGUAACUGACGCUGAGGAGCGAAAGCAUGGGGAGCGAACAGG
rnacentral:rRNA from 1 species